AAUGGAUUGCUCCCUCUUCUGGGAAAGGUCAUCCUUUCAGUUUUUGGUUUAAUAGAGGAUAGAUGCCUUGUACCGAAUUGAGCACUAGGCAUAGACAACAGCAGCUGAAAAUUAAUCGCUCUAUGAGUUCAAUUUGAACUCUUCAAUAUUCAAGGUUAUAGUACUGAGAAUUGUUUUACCUUAGUUAAACUGGACAACUUCAGCAUAUUAGGUGAUUUGUUUACUUGAUGGGUGACUGGGUGACUGUUGCUAUGGGAACACUUCUUGAAGUAAAGGAAUUGCAGUCAGUUGAAAAGCUUUCUACAUAAAAAUGAGAAGUGAUUACAGGCUCACUGCACUCAUCCAUCAUUUUAAAAAUCUUACAUCAAACCAUUACAGUAUUUCUUUGCAUCUGUAGCUAAUUAAUCCUACAAAAUGAGGGAAAGAACAAACAAUGAGCUUCAACCUUCAACCUGCUGACUCUUGAACAUGUGAGUACUUCAUGACAAAUAAGCUUACACAAACAUAUGUAA